rnacentral:misc_RNA from 1 species
GCAUCAUCAGGCUCAACGUGUGGCGAGAAGGGAAGCUUCACGCCCCCUAUGCCCACCAUCCGAAAGAGAGUAUGCAAAACCAUUGUCGCAAAGGAAGGACAGUGAAGCUUCAGCGCUGCGGAAGAAAGAAGAGGUAAUCUGAAACCCAAGGACACCAACAUUCACAUACCGAAGGAAACAAGAACAUUAAUCAGUGAAGAACAGGGGCCUAGAUGCCGACGGAAGCACAUCAAGGUUGCUCAGUAGUCGUCGUUGCAAAGGUUAAGGCCAUUCACUCUUCUUCGGUCAAAGGGUUCCGUGGGUAACCAUCUGCUGGACUUGAAUUUCAGUAGUUCCAUAUGCAAUUUUCACACGGCCUUUUGAACUUUGAUUGUUACCUCAUAGAAUUCUUGAUUAUUUAUUUCACUUACUGACCUUACGAAUCUUUGUAAUGCUACGUACCCUUGCGAUUUCCUCACAUGUUGCACUUUAAAUUGCAAUUGCUCUAUGAAUUUUGAUCACUGCUCAACUGAAAUCUUCAUUAUUGCCUUUGG